GCCAGUAGUGAUAUGCUUGUCUCAAAGAUUAAGCCAUGCAUGUCUAAGUUCACACUUUAAUACGGUGAAACCGCGAAUGGCUCAUUAAAUCAGUCGAGGUUCCUUAGAUGAUCCCCAUCUACUUGGAUAACUGUGGUAAUUCUAGAGCUAAUACAUGCCAACCAGCUUCGACCCGUUGGAGUUUUUCAAUGGGAAAGAGCGCUUUUAUUAGUUCAAAACCAGUCGGGUUUGGCUUUGUCAGGCCCGCUCCUUUGGUGACUCUGGAUAACUUUGUGCCGAUCGCAUGGCCUCGAGCCGGCGACGCAUCUUUCAAAUGUCUGCCCUAUCAAAUGACGAUGGUACGUGAUCUGCCUACCAUGUUGGCAACGGGUAGCGGGGAAUCAGGGUUCGAUUCCGGAGAGG
rnacentral:rRNA from 1 species